CUCUCUGUAGCUCAGUUGGUUUGAGCACUGCACCGGAAUCGCAGGGUCACAGGUUCGAUUCCUGCAAGAGGGC
rnacentral:tRNA from 1 species